AGUGAACGCUGGCGGUAGGCCUAACACAUGCAAGUCGAACGGCAGCACAGUAAGAGCUUGCUCUUACGGGUGGCGAGUGGCGGACGGGUGAGGAAUACAUCGGAAUCUACUUUUUCGUGGGGGAUAACGUAGGGAAACUUACGCUAAUACCGCGUACGACCUACGGGUGAAAGCAGGGGAUCUUCGGACCUUGCGCGAUUGAAUGAGCCGAUGUCGGAUUAGCUAGUUGGCGGGGUAAAGGCCCACCAAGGCGACGAUCCGUAGCUGGUCUGAGAGGAUGAUCAGCCACACUGGAACUGAGACACGGUCCAGACUCCUACGGGAGGCAGCAGUGGGGAAUAUUGGACAAUGGGCGCAAGCCUGAUCCAGCCAUACUGCGUGGGUGAAGAAGGCCUUCGGGUUGUAAAGCCCUUUUGUUGGGAAAGAAAAGCAGCAGGUUAAUACCCCGCUGUUCUGACGGUACCCAAAGAAUAAGCACCGGCUAACUUCGUG
rnacentral:rRNA from 1 species